GCCUGGCUGGCUCAGUCAGUACAGCGUAUGACUCUUGAUCUUGGGGUUGUGAAUUCAAGCCCCACGCUGGGUA
rnacentral:tRNA from 1 species